UACAAAUGGCCAAGCCAAUUGCUUCUUCUGC
rnacentral:piRNA from 1 species